CGUACUGGUGGAGAUGGCAUUCUCCCUGACCGCCCGCCCUGGGCUGAUGAUGCCUGCUGGCUU
rnacentral:ncRNA from 1 species